rnacentral:sRNA from 2 species
CUGGCUAUGUUUUAAAUAGAGGUUGUAAUUAUCCUCGUUUCCCCUGCUAUCCCACUCACGCAGCUGGUCGACUCGCGUCGGCUUGGAAGGAUAACAUUUUGGCAAAUUGGCGUCCCUCCGCGCCGCUGGAACGCUUCUGACGAAUGCAGUUCGCAGAAAUUCCUCGUUCCCCGUUCCAGCGCCUUAUUCAUGCCCCCUCCUGACAUCCACUUGCAACCAUAAUACCCGCCAUUUCACCAACCGGGCCCCGCGCAAAACCCCCAACCAGCUCCCAUACAGAACCUCCGAUUUCCCCAAAGAAAUAGACCUCGAACACCCCAUUUUCCUCGCCCCAAAACUCGAUCCCAAGAAACUAGGCGGCGUCCAUCGGGAUAGAUACCUCUUCCGCGACCCCGACAACAUCUCCCUGUACCCCGGCGAGCAGUCCUUCGAUCCCACAACCGCCGCCCACCAUCCAAUGAAGUUCUUCUUCGAGUUCAUCACCACACCUACGGCAGACACGCCAGGCACUACCCUUAUCGUCCACUUCGAUGACAAGCGCUACCUAUUCGGCCAUAUACCCGAGGGCCUACAGCGGGCCUGCGGCCAUCGUAAUAUCAAGUUCACCCAUGUCACGGACAUUUUCAUGUCCGGCAAGACGUCGUGGGCGAACAAUGGCGGCCUGCUCGGGAUCAUCCUAACGCUUGCCGAGUCGGCGAAUACCUCUGCCUGGUCGCAGAAGGAGGUGUAUCGGACGAAAGCAGAGCGGUUGGCAAAGCUAGCGGCCGAGACGGCGGAUCCGGUGCAGGCAGAGUCAUACCGGCGGCGGCUGGAGCAUUUCCAGGAGCGGAGCAACAAGCUUGCCGUGGAGUUUGAGCGGCGGGGG